GCCAGACAUGGUGGUGCACGCCUGUAGUCCCAGCUACUCCGGAGGCUGAGGUGGAAGGAUCACUCGAGCCCAGGAAGUCAAGGCUGCAGUGAGCCUUGAUCAGGCCACUGCACUCCAGCCUGGGCAACAGAGUGAGACCUUAUCUCAG
ensembl:misc_RNA Metazoa_SRP Metazoan signal recognition particle RNA